UAUUUUUUUUUUUAAAGAGAUUUUUCGUCAGGGGUAAUAAUGCACGCCUUUAAUCCCAGUGCUUGGGAGGUAGAGGCAGAUACCCGUGAGCUUGAGUUUAGCCUGGUCUAUAGAGAGUUCCAGGACAGCCAGAGCCAGACAGUGAGACCCAUCUCUAAACAAAUAAACAAACAGACAGAUAGACAGACAAACAAACAAAUAAAACUAAAAAUAAAAAAAACAAAAAACAAAAAACCCAGCUUGAUUCCUGUAAGAUGACUAAGAGGCCACCUACCUUGGGAGAGGCCUUAGUUCACUUCUGGAUAAAUCUGGAAUUCAGCCCUGCAUUCUCUAUAUGUCACUGCAAGCCCGCGGCAGGAAGCCACGUGUCCGCGUUGAAUUCAUUUCUCAUCUUGAAAGAAGGGAUGGUGCUAAGUUUGCAAGUUUGAGACAAGGAGAGAAAUCCCGUGCAGAGACGCCAAGCCUGGGGCCUGCUCAGAAAGAGCGUUUGGAGCGUGGCAGACCCUGUUGCUUUAGUAGACGACAGCUCCUUGGAGAGCCAGGCUUUCUACUCCUAGAAGGGCUUUCUUUGCAUUAGGUGUGUGUUUCCUCUUAUCCUGUCCACCACUCUCCUGGUGGCUUGGGGGCCUCUGCCCUUACAGAGAAGAAGUUCGUAUUGGUCUGCGAAGACUUUCCCGAGUCCAGACUCAGUUCCCUUUGAACAGAUGGGCUGUGUGCUCCAUGGCUUUGCCCCUUUUCAGUUUUGUUUGCAGCUCCUCUUGACCAAGUCCUGCAUGUUCAUGUUCUUAUAUCUCUGUGCUCAGCCCUCCAGGCUGUCUUGCUUCCUUCAAGUCAUCGCUGAUGACUGCUUGUAGACGGAUGACUAGCACAUCUAUAUUUACAAUCUGUUCUUUCCCCCUCUGGAAGGAUUUCUCAAGCCCUGCGACAACGACAGUUGCUAUGUAUGGGUGUGGUGCAAAUACAGUGGGGGAACUGUUCGGUGUUUCCUGGCCUGGCGAUGUUGCCACCAUCCAUCUGGCCAAUCCAACCUGUCACUCAGUUCAGGCCUUUUAAAUGCUUCUACCCUGUUGCAGCAACCCUCCAACAACAGUCUCUGCCUUCAGCCUGACUUCUGUACAAUCAUUUUCUCCUACGAUGUUUAGAGUGAUUUCCUUUUACAAAACUGAACAGAUUCUUCAGGCUCUUGUGGCUCGGGAUAGCCUUGAACUGGACCUGUACGUGAGGGUGGGCUUGAACAUUUGGUCUUCCCCCCCUCCACUUCCCUAGUGUUUGGGCUUAUGGGCUUGCUCUGCCAUGCUCAGCUUAUGGGAUGUUGGGGACUGAAGCCAGGGUUGCCUGAAUGCCAGACAAGCAUGAUACCAACCGAGCCGAAUCACUACUCUAUCCGUUAGUUAUUGAGCUUAGCUUUACUCGUACUUGACCCUUAUGAAUACAUGAAGUCUGGAACUAUUUAUUGUGAAGCACAUGCUAUUUUAUCUUGAAAUCUUGUCACUACUUCAUUGGCAUUUCAGUUCCUGGCUGCAGAGAGAACAUUUUUUUAUUCAGGGAUGUGUUGAGAAUGUCUGAGUUCUAUAUGGUGAGAGUUGUUUGAAACAUAGUAAUCUACCUUUAAUUACAAAUCAUUCAAUCAAUCAAUCUGGCUCUGGGACUUGGAUUCUGUCACUGAGUUGAAGCCACAGCCUAUUUUGUCCCACUGGGCUGCUCAGGCUGGCUUUGAGCAUGCCGUCCCCAUACUUCACCUACCAUCACAACCCUGAACUACCAGAGCUGAGGUUGAAAUACACUUAAAUCCAAACUCGACUUCCAUGAUAAGUGGGGCUCCUUAGCUUUUCUCUUUGGACCUCUGCACCCCAUGGCCACAGCUGUGUGCUGUCUGCCUUUCAUAUCACAAUGUGACACCAAUGUUUGCAGCUUGUUUUCCUCUCCUUAAGUGCAACUCUUUGAGGGUUUAUCUUACACACUCUACCUCCCAACUGGUUAGUGAGAUGCCUAGAAUAUAAUUCUGCCUUUUUAAAAAAAAACCCUAAAUCCAAUUGAAGGAGGUAUAUGAAUAUCUGUAUAUGCAUCGAUGUCACAGAAAUGGUGAUACUGGCAUUUUUUUUUCCAGUAUCAGACUUUUAAUUAAUGUUGUUAAAGUUGAAUUAUAUUAUGUAAAAACUUUGAUUUACCUUCUUAUCCUGUCUAAAUGAAAUUUUCAUGUGGUAAAUUUAUAAGCCAGCUAGGCCUUCUUUGCUGUAGACUUUGUAACUUCUAUAUAAUUCUAAGCACAGCAUUUAACAACCCAUUUGGAUUGGAUCAUGCUAAACAAACCCAUAUCUCCUUAGUUAUUCAUUUAAUAUUUUCCUUAUAAUUUGUGUCUGAGUAGAUUUAUCUGAGCGUUCACCUGAACCAGGAUACCAAAUUAAUUUCCACAGGAAACACAUUGUUAGAUUCCUAUUGUAGGUUCUGCACAUAGAAUAUUGGAAAAGAUGGGAUUGGGUUAAGGAGAAACUUGUAGGUUUGGUUUGAAGACAGACAGACAGACAGACAGACAGACACACACACACACACACACACACACACACACAGAGAGAGAGAGAGAGAGAGAGAGAGAGAGAGAACAGACAAUU
rnacentral:lncRNA from 1 species